rnacentral:misc_RNA from 1 species
GAUGAAGAACGCAGCGAAAUGCGAUACGUAAUGUGAAUUGCAAAUUCAGUGAAUCAUCGAGUCUUUGAACGCACAUUGCGCCCCCUGGUAUUCCGGGGGGCAUGCCUGUCCGAGCGUCAUUGCUGCCCUCAAGCACGGCUUGUGUGUUGGGCCCCGUCCUCCGAUCCCGGGGGACGGGCCCGAAAGGCAGCGGCGGCACCGCGUCCGGUCCUCGAGCGUAUGGGGCUUUGUCACCCGCUCUUGUAGGCCCGGCCGGCGCUUGCCGACACAUCAAUCUUUUUUCCAGGUUGACCUCGGAUCAGGUAGGGAUACCCGCUGAACUUAAGCAUAUCAAUAAGCGGAGGA